rnacentral:lncRNA from 1 species
AAAAACCCCAUGGAUUCGGAUCCGAAUCCAGAUGUAAGUAUAUCCGCAAAAUUGGAUAUUUAGAUUCGGCUAAAUUAUAUAUUAAAUUAAAAUUAAAUUAAAAAGAUGUAACUUAAAUUGAAAAAAUCCUAACUACCUAACCCUAAAACAAAAUCACAGCAGUGUAUAUACGCACACAUUCAGUUCACCUUCAUUGGCAGCCAAAUCCCCCAAGUCCGUAAUGCUGCCAUCACCGUCUGCCUCGCCUGAGCAUGCUGCACGUUGCAUGCAUCGUUGUCGUCGAAGCCUUGCUUGAGCAUGCCUCAUGCAUCAUUUGUCUUAAGGCCUUGCCUGCGUUGAGUCGUCUACCUCAUCUCGCUUGAGCUGAGCAUGUUGCACACGCUUGCCCUUGCCCCUUCGCUCCGUCGUUGGUUGCUAAAUAACUCGCUUGCCGGUGGCCACUUCCUCGCUGCUCAAUUGUCGUUGGUAACAAAAAGGUAAAAUCAUUCUUUUUUUUUUAUAUCAAUUUUUAGUGAACUAAUUUGUGGACUUUAGCCAUGCGAAUUAAUUUCCAGUGAAUUAAGAUGUAUAAGCAUAAAUGCAUAAUUAACUUUGUAAUCUUCCUUAACUUUGAAAAAAUAUGUUAAGAAACUAAAAAGAUAAUAAUAAUAAUAAUUAGGUAAAUGAGAAUAUUAUAAUGAAUUGGUUUACUUAGGUUAUUUUUCAUAUCUUAUUUUUUUUUCACAUAUGUUAACUCACUUUACAACUCACUUUAAAUAGGUUUUGGGAUAUUGAACAUGGCCGAAGAGGAACAAGGAAACAAUUUUACAUUUUCUCUGAAUAGUGUUAAUAAUAUGGAUGUUAGAUUAGAGGAUGUCCGCGAACCUGAAAUGACAAUGUUGUCAAAGUUGAACUGGAUUUAACAGUUAUAGAAUAUGGUAUUGGUCGUGGCCGUGUGCGAGGUGUUAAAGAAAGAGUAGGUAAUGAGAGUGAAGGCAUAGCAAAAGGGUCUACAUUAGCACAAUCUAGCGGUUGUAAGCUAACUUCUGAUGUAUAGAAUCAUUUCAAGAGGUACAAGGACGUGGAAGGGCAGCGUUUGGCAGUUUGCAACUAUUGUAAUAAAGUUUUGACAAGACAUUAUUAUGGUAGGACUACGCACUUAAAAAAUUAUUUUACAAGUUGUUUGAGAAAGAAUUUCAAGCAUGUUAGCCAAAUGCUUCUUGCUAAGAAAUAUGAUGGAUCCGUUGCAGUUGAAAGUUGUUCUGAAAUAAAAUGUGAUAUGUCGACGGUAAGGAUUACUGUUGCAAUAAUGAUCAUUUUGCAUGACCUUCUAUUUUCAUUUGUUGAAUAUUAAGGGUUUUGUGAUUUGAUGAAGUUGGUUCAAUUGACACUUGAUACAAUAAAUCAAAAUAUCAUUAAGAAUGAAAAUUUGAAACUUUAUGAUGUUGAGAGGUCGAAGACAAUAAAUUUGUUGGAUGCUUGUGAGAGUAGGAAUGCAAUUACUACAAAUAUGUGGAUAUAUGGUUAUUACGGCACAUUAUAUUGACAACCUAUGGGUGUUAUGAAGUCACAUUAUGAGGUAACACUUUUGAUAUUUAUAUUAUGUUUAUUUCAAUUUUAACGCAUUUUAAUGAUUUCAACAAUUUUUAUUAUUAUUAUUAUUAUUAUUAUUAUUAUUAUUAUUAUUAUUGCAUUAUUACGUUUAUAUAUGUGCCAACUCCACACAGUGGAGAAGUAAUAUGUAAUGUUUUGUAUGAUUGUUUGAUGGGUUGGGAUAUUGAUAGGAAAGUAUCAACUAUAACUGUGGAUAAUUGUGCUGCUAAUAAUGCAAUGGUUAAUAUACUGUUGGAAAAAUUUUCCCAAGUUCAUUGAUUUUAGGCGAGAAAAUUUUUCACAUGCGUUGUUGUACUCAUAUCUUGAAUUUGAUUGUGAAGGAUGAGAUGUAUGUGAUGGAUAAAAGUGUUCAAAAUAUAAAAGAUAAUGUCAAUUAUCGGACUACUACAACUGAAAGAGUUGAAAAAUCUAAGACUGCAAUGCGCUAAAUAAGUAUUGCAGAGACCAAACAUUUGGUUCUUGAUUGUGAGACUCAAUGGAAUUCAACUUAAUGCUCACUACUACUUUGUUGUAUAAGGAUGCAUUUGUUUGGUUGAGUAAGCUUGAUAAACAAUAUCAGUGUUUGCCUAAUGAGUCGGAGUGGGAUUUGGCAAAGGUUUUUGUAUGCCCAUUUGGAUUUGUUUUCUAUGUUGAUAGAAAUUAUUUUUGGAUCUUGAUAUCCCACCUCUAACUUAUUUUUUUCUUGUGAGAUUAGAUUGUUAAUGAAUUCAUGGAAAAGAUAACCCAAUGUGGAGAUUAGACAAAUGACCGAAAAUAUGAUAAGUUUUGGGAUGUUAUUCAUGGAUUAUUGUGUAUAUGGAAUAUCUUAAAUCCUAGGUUUAAAAAGAUUAUGGUUACUUCCUUUUUCCUAAGAUUCAUAGAGAGGAAUCUGUCUAUCGAGCUAAAAGGAUAUUUAACCUUUUUGUUAAAGUGUUGAAAGAGUAUGAAUCACAGCAUGUAACAAGUAAAGAUAUAGGAGAUUUUGAGAUGGGCAGUUCUUUUC